CAGCCGCCGCGGUAAUACGGAGGGUGCAAGCGUUAAUCGGAAUUACUGGGCGUAAAGCGCACGCAGGCGGUUUGUUAAGUCAGAUGUGAAAUCCCCGAGCUUAACUUGGGAACUGCAUUUGAAACUGACAAGCUAGAGUCUUGUAGAGGGGGGUAGAAUUCCAGGAGUAGCGGUGAAAUGCGCAGAGAUCGGGAGGAACAUCAGUGGCGAAGGCGGCCCCCUGGGCCAAUACUGACGCUCAUGCACGAAAGCGUGGGGAGCAAACAGGAUUAGAUACCCGCGUAGUCCCUGUCUCUUAUAC
rnacentral:rRNA from 1 species